rnacentral:rRNA from 1 species
AAACCAGCACCUCAAGUGGUCAGGAUGAUUAUUGGGCCUAAAGCAUCCGUAGCCGGCUCUGUAAGUUGUCGGUUAAAUCUGUACGCUUAACGUACAGGCUGCUGGGAAUACUGCAGAGCUAGGGAGUGGGAGAGGUAGACGGUACUCGGGAGGAAGUGGUAAAAUGCUUUGAUCUCUCGAUGACCACCUGUGGCGAAGGCGGUCUACCAGAACACGUCCGACGGUGAGGGAUGAAAGCUGGGGGAGCAAACCGGAUUAGAAACCCCAGUAGUCC